ACCAGACUCCUACGGGAGGCAGCAGUGAGGAAUAUUGGUCAAUGGCCGGAAGGCUGAACCAGCCAAGCCGCGUGAAGGACGAAGGUGCCAAGCAUUGUAAACUUCUUUUGUCAAGGGACAAAAUCAGGCUCGAGAGCCUGACCGAGGGUACUUGAAGAAAAAGCAUCGGCUAACUCCGUGCCAGCAGCCGCGGUAAUACGGAGGAUGCGAGCGUUAUCCGGAUUUAUUGGGUUUAAAGGGUGCGCAGGCGGCCGGUGAAGUGAGCGGAAAACGCGCGGGGCUCAACCCCGGCGAGCCGUUGAAACUGGCGGGCUGGAGUUGGAGAGAAGUACGCGGAAUGCGCGGUGUAGCGGUGAAAUGCUUAGAUAUCGCGCAGAACCCCGAUUGCGAAGGCAGCGUACCGGCUCCACACUGACGCUGAGGCACGAAAGCGUGGGUAUCGAACAGGAUUAGAUACCCGGGUA
rnacentral:rRNA from 1 species